AGAGAGACUUCCUUGACGGUAACGUUUUGGGGGUCUUUUUCUUUUGC
rnacentral:antisense_RNA from 1 species